GGAUGAACGCUGGCGGCGUGCCUAAUACAUGCAAGUCGAGCGAACAGAUGAGGAGCUUGCUCCUCUGACGUUAGCGGCGGACGGGUGAGUAACACGUGGAUAACCUACCUAUAAGACUGGGAUAACUUCGGGAAACCGGAGCUAAUACCGGAUAAUAUAUUGAACCGCAUGGUUCAAUAGUGAAAGACGGUUUUGCUGUCACUUAUAGAUGGAUCCGCGCCGCAUUAGCUAGUUGAUAAGGUAACGGCUUACCAAGGCAACGAUGCGUAGCCGACCUGAGAGGGUGAUCGGCCACACUGGAACUGAGACACGGUCCAGACUCCUACGGGAGGCAGCAGUAGGGAAUCUUCCGCAAUGGGCGAAAGCCUGACGGAGCAACGCCGCGUGAGUGAUGAAGGUCUUCGGAUCGUAAAACUCUGUUAUUAGGGAAGAACAAAUGUGUAAGUAACUAUGCACGUCUUGACGGUACCUAAUCAGAAAGCCACGGCUAACUACGUG
rnacentral:rRNA from 1 species